UACGGGAGGAUGCGAGCGUUAUCCGGAUUUAUUGGGUUUAAAGGGUGCGUAGGCGGACAGUCAAGUCAGCGGUAAAAAUGCGGUGCUCAACGCCGUACAGCCGUUGAAACUGGCAGUCUUGAGUGGGCGAGAAGUAUGCGGAAUGCGUGGUGGUAGCGGUGAAAUGCAUAGAUAUCACGCAGAACUCCGAUUGCGAAGGCAGCAUACCGGCGCCCUACUGACGCUGAGGCACGAAAGCGUGGGUAGUCGAACAGGA
rnacentral:rRNA from 1 species